rnacentral:rRNA from 1 species
UUCGCCACGCCCGCUACAAGUAAACUUAAUAGAAUGACGGGCCCCGCACAAGCAGCGGAGCGUGUGGUUUAAUUCGAUGCUACACGAAGAACCUUACCAGGGUUUGACAUACAAGUAGUAGGGAAAGGAAACUGGACCGACCCUUCGGGGAGCUUGAACAGGUGCUGCAUGGCUGUCGUCAGCUCGUGUCGUGAGAUGUUCGGUUAAGUCCGCUAACGAGCGCAACCCUCGCUGUGUGUUACAAGUGUCACACGGAACUGCCGGUCAUAAACCGGAGGAAGGUGGGGAUGACGUCAAGUCAGCAUGGCCUUUAUAUCCUGGGCUACACACACGCUACAAUGGGAAGGGACAAUAGGUUGCGAAACCGCGAGGUGGAGCCAAUCCAGCAAAACUUCCCUCAGUUCAGAUUGCAGGCUGCAACUCGCCUGCAUGAAGUUGGAGUUGCUAGUAAACGCAGGUCAGCCAUACUGCGUUGAAUACGUUCCCGGGGCUU